GCCAAAUUUGUUGUUGUGCAUUCCUAUUUCAAUUAGGAUUACUUAUUAGUUUUCCUUCAACUAGGAUUUAAUUGAUUUCCUAUUUUAUCUAAAUUUCUCUAAUGUAAAUAGGCUAUUCUAUAUAAAUCCCCAAAACUAAUGUGACUGGGAAUUCAAACUCUAUAAAUAGGCUUAGUUUCUCCAUUUUAAUUUAGAGACUUAUUAUGAUUAUAGACUAUUGUUCUGAGCAAUAAAGUUGAGAAUUUGUAUCUCACAACCUGAGAAUUUGUUUCUCUUCCCCAAAAUCUCAACCCAGAAAUCAAACUUGGCCUUCAAACAACCCCACCACAACACUCAUCAACCUGAGGCAACCUUGGAGACUCCGCCACUUUGAUUGUUUGGAAGUGACCAGAAGCCGAAAUCUGUUCAGGUAAAACCCCUACUUGGUCCAAAUCCCACUGCUUCCCACAUUCAUUCCUCCCAAAAAUGUCACUGGUAGUCGAUCUACACUUUCCAGACAUCAGAGCACCAAACUGAUGCUCCUAGAAGUCAAACCUGACAAGUUUGACAACCAGAACCCAACCCAACAGGAGAUCCAUUUUUCCAAUGCUUGACUCUUCUCUGCACCUUGCCAUCUUUCCAUGACUUGGUUCCCACCGUCUGACCUCCCUUCUAUUCCUACAGUGAGUUACAAGUGAGUCGGUCAAAUCUGCCAGAAAUACCUGAUUGGGCUCAUUUCUACCAGAUUUCAUGCACUUGCUGAAAUCAGAUUGCUGACUAUUUGAAGACCGACUAGAUAGACAAAGCCUUGGGAAGGGAGAAAAAUCGGUGAACCAAAGCAUUUCACUGGGCAACAGAGGGGGUCUCUAAAAUUAUCAACACCCGUAAUAAGAUAAGCAGAUUUGCUAAAUUAUCGAGAAUGAAAAGCUGUUCUUGCCAUGAAACUCCCACUGACAAAGCUUAAAUUGUCUCCAGCAGCUUCUUCCCUUGCUUCUUGCCUUCUUCGGGAGAUUUUCCACAGCUGAUUCCAUAUUUGUUGACUGCUUUCUUAUCUUACAAAUGCUUAUGACUGGGAUGAUCUCAAAAGAGAAGUGCUCAUAUGAAGGAAUUACAGGAGUGUACAGUGGAUCGAUUUUCAUAGCAAAUAAUGCCUUCUCUUUCAAUUUCAGUGUAGCAGUUGUAGGCGACCAAAGAUUGAAACAGCAGCCUGCCAACUCACUUCCACAUCAUGAGACAGUAAGGCAGUGUCUAGUCACUGUGCCACAUCAGCAAUAGUGCCACGUCAACAAUUUUUCAAGUGACCCUACUUUGCUCAGUUUGACGUCCUGAAUCCAUUUACAACAUCCGUUCCAGGUAAAAUGGCUCUAAACGGCUAAAAUUUGAGUUUUCUUUAAUGAGGUAUGCUUCUUUAUUUUGAAUAGCACGUUGUGGACUGACAUCAUAGUUUCAAAUAAAGGCCGUUAUGUUAUGUAAGAACCAUUAUUUGUAAGUUUUUUGCCCUCCCGUUACAGUGACACUCAUUAUUUAAGGGCAUAAAAAAAUUGUUCCUAUGAUGGCCAUCACACCCGUUACUUAAUAGUAACAGCCGAGAGUUAUUUAUUUUUGUUUUUGCACUUUUUUGUUUCUUUGUUGUGGAAAAAUUAUGUUUGAUGCUAGGUUUUUUAUUAAAUUUA
rnacentral:misc_RNA from 1 species